UGGAAGUAAAAGUCGUAACAAGGUCUCCGUUGGUGAACCAGCGGAGGGAUCAUUACCGAGUUUACAACUCCCAAACCCCUGUGAACAUACCACUUGUUGCCUCGGCGGAUCAGCCCGCUCCCGGUAAAACGGGACGGCCCGCCAGAGGACCCCUAAACUCUGUUUCUAUAUGUAACUUCUGAGUAAAACCAUAAAUAAAUCAAAACUUUCAACAACGGAUCUCUUGGUUCUGGCAUCGAUGAAGAACGCAGCAAAAUGCGAUAAGUAAUGUGAAUUGCAGAAUUCAGUGAAUCAUCGAAUCUUUGAACGCACAUUGCGCCCGCCAGUAUUCUGGCGGGCAUGCCUGUUCGAGCGUCAUUUCAACCCUCAAGCACAGCUUGGUGUUGGGACUCGCGUUAAUUCGCGUUCCCCAAAUUGAUUGGCGGUCACGUCGAGCUUCCAUAGCGUAGUAGUAAAACCCUCGUUACUGGUAAUCGUCGCGGCCACGCCGUUAAACCCCAACUUUUGAAUGUGACCU
rnacentral:rRNA from 1 species